CUACGGGUCGCUCCAGUGAGGAAUAUUGCACAAUGGAGGAAACUCUGAUGCAGCAACGCCGCGUGGAGGAUGACGCAUUUCGGUGUGUAAACUCCUUUUAUAUGUCAAGAAAAUGACGGUAGCAUAUGAAUAAGCACCGGCUAACUCCGUGCCAGCAGCCGCGGUAAUACGGAGGGUGCAAGCGUUACUCGGAAUCACUGGGCGUAAAGGACGCGUAGGCGGGAUAUCAAGUCAGGUGUGAAAUCCUACAGCUUAACUGUAGAACUGCACUUGAAACUGGUAACCUAGAGGAUGGGAGGGGGAGAUGGAAUUAGUGGUGUAGGGGUAAAAUCCGUAGAUAUCACUAGGAAUACCUAAAGCGAAGGCGAUCUCCUGGAACAUUACUGACGCUAAGGCGUGAAAGCGUGGGGAGCAAACAGGAUUAGAUACCCCAGUAGUC
rnacentral:rRNA from 1 species